rnacentral:miRNA from 2 species
GACAGAAGAGAGUGAGCAC